rnacentral:lncRNA from 1 species
GAGGACAUGCCAUAAUUGGGUCCUCAUAAUAGGGAGAAUUAAAAAGGGGUUUUAAUUCACAAUCAAUUACGGAAGAGUUCGAAUUGCCUACUGCCUCGCCGAUUAGAACCUAAUGGAUUGCACACCCAUAAAGGUAAGAGAUGGAAAAUUAAUUAGGAGAUGAUGAACAAAGAUUAUUUAGUUAAUAAAGAUUAAUUAAUUAAUCAAUGCUCGGGACUUGUAUUAGGGCUAAAAUUAGUUUUAGAAGUUCAAAGCCCAUUGGACUUGGACCCAUUGGGCUUAUAAGAUGAGUUCUACAUGACAACUUAAAAGAUGAAGCCCAAGAGGCCCAAUAAGGAGAUCAUCUUGGCCACAUGGAAGAGAUGGUGGGUUAUCAAAAGUAAUUAGGGGUUAAACUGAUAUGUUUAUUCUUUUCUCAAGGAGGGAUAUAUAUAUAUAUAUAUAUAUAUAUAAAGUGAGUAUAAAUAGGAAAUAUAUACAAAAUCUCCUAAUUCUACUCAAAUUAGAUAAUUAGAAUUAAAUAUAAAUUCUAUUCCUAAUAGGAACGUUGACUUUGACUCUC